GGAGCGGGCUGCGCGGCCGCGCGCGGCCUCUGGCCGCGGGAGGAAAGUCCGGGCUCCGCAGGGCAGGGUGGUGGAUAACGUCCACCGGGGGCGACCCCAGGGAAAGUGCCACAGAAAUCAGACCGCCCCGGACUCCGGUCCGGGGUAAGGGUGAAAAGGUGCGNNAGGAAAGUCCGGGCUCCACAGAGCGGGGUGGUGGGUAACGCCCACCGGGGGAGCCCUCCAGAGGGCGAACCCCAGGGAAAGUGCCACAGAGAACAGACCGCCUACGUCCCCGGUUUCCGGGGGCCGGUAAGGGUGAAACGGUGAGGUAAGAGCUCACCAGCGGCCCGGGUGACCGGGCCGGCUCGGUAAACCCCACCCGGAGCAAGGCCAAAUAAGGAGACGCUCGAGGGCUGCCCGUCCGAAGUCUCCGGGUAGGCUGCUAGAGGCGAAGGGCGACCUUCGUCCCAGAUGGAUGGCCGUGGGCCCGCCAGUUGGCGGGCGACAGAACCCGGCUUACAGGCCCGCUCCGGUU
rnacentral:RNase_P_RNA from 1 species